ACGGCUCAGUAACACGUGGACAACCUACCCUCAGAUCUGGGAUAAACCUGGGAAACUGGGUAUAAUACCGGAUAGGUCUUGGAUGCUGGAAUGCACCGAGGCCCAAAGCUCCGGCGUCUGAGGAUGGGUCUGCGGCCUAUCAGGGUAGUAGUGGGUGUAAAGUACCUACUAGCCUACGACGGGUACGGGUCGUGAGAGCGAGAGCCCGGAGAUGGAUUCUGAGACACGAAUCCAGGCCCUACGGGGUGCAGCAGGCGCGAAAACUUUACAAUGCCGGCAACGGCGAUAAGGGGACCUCGAGUGCCAGGAUACAAUCCUGGCUGUCGUAAUGCCUAAAAAGCAUUAUAUAGCAAGGGCCGGGCAAGACCGGUGCCAGCCGCCGCGGUAACACCGGCGGCUCGAGUGGUAACCGCUAUUAUUGGGUCUAAAGGGUCUGUAGCCGGCCUGGUAAGUCUUUUGGGAAAUCCGGCAGCUCAACUGUCGGGCUAUCAGAGGAUACUGCUAGGCUCGAGACCGGGAGAGGUGAGAGGUACUUCAUGGGUAGGGGUGAAAUCUUGUAAUCCUUGAAGGACCACCAGUGGCGAAGGCGUCUCACCAGAACGGAUCUGACGGCAAGGGACGAAAGCUAGGGGCACGAACCGGAUUAGAUACCCGGGUAGUCCUAGCCGUAAACGAUACUCGCUAGGUGUCGGCCACGGUGCGACCGUGGUCGGUGCCGUAGGGAAGCCGUGAAGCGAGCCACCUGGGAAGUACGGCCGCAAGGCUGAAACUUAAAGGAAUUGGCGGGGGAGCAC
rnacentral:rRNA from 1 species